GAUCAGCGCGGCGGGGAGGCCGAUGCCUAAUUUUCGGAGCCCACAACCUCUCAUCAGACUUGAAGCACAAUCUCUUUGCCCUCUUCUCCUACAACUCCUUAAUCAGCUUCUCGAAGUUCCACCCAAAUCCCCCUCUUCCAGGCUUCUCCUUUAGGGCCUAAUGCAGGCUUCAUGGCGCUAGUCCCUUGGGAGUAAGAAAGUUGUGGUCAUCCUAGAUGGAUCUUCGGAUCUCCCCCAUUUCCCUUGAUUCCUCCAUAAUUUCCCCUUCUCAAGUGGGCGGUCCUCCCCAAGUCUCCCAAUCAUCCCUCGGACGUUCAUACCCAAAUCCUUCUUCGAAUUCCCAUCCUUCCUUCAAAAUCAGCACCUCGGCGGCCAUGAUCUACCUCCCUUUGUUCACAAUUAGCAUCCCCUUGCUCCUUUCCCAUCCCCAUACCUACCUCCUCUCUCGUCCCUCUGGAAAUGCUCCAUAUGGGGUUUUCUCUCUUCUCCCUAGAUGAUCUCCACCUCAUUUUUGUCCCUAUGAAUUUUAGAAUUCAUAUUUUUUUCUUCUCACACUUUCACCUCUAAUGCCGUCGUUUGGUUGUGGAGAUCCAACAUUUUCUUUACCAUGUCACGUAAGUCAGAAAAUUGCUCUUCCAUGGAGGAAAUUUUAUCUUCCACCGUUGCCUUUAUUUGGCUCAUCUCCCCCUCAUGGCUUUCCUCCAACGCAUCCACAUUCUUGGCCGCCAUUGAUACAUGAAUUGUUGUGAGACUCAAAAAUCAGUAUUUCUUCCCAAAAAACUGCCACACCAAAGGUCUGAAUAUGAAAAACUUCUGCUGGAAUUAGCCAAAACCGCCCCAAACCAGCCCCGAAAAGUAGCUUUGAUACCAAUUUGAUUCCAAUUUUUUGUUCUAGUGUUAGGGUUAUAUUGUAUGUUUUGUAGAAUUUGGUGUUUUUUAGGUUUUGCUUGGGCUCUAGCCUCCGGCUAGAGAUUGGGAGAGUAGGAUCUUCCUCUCCAAUUGAAGAUUCAACUAUAUCUUGCUAUUUUAUUUCAUCUACUAUCAAAUUAAAAGUUUUCUCUCCGUUAUUUCUCUGUUUUUCUCUCAAAAAUUGCUUGAAGUGUGUCUGAUUGUUUAUUUCUGGAGCAGAAUUUUGUGUUUUCUCUUAUUUCCUAUCAAUGUCCUAUUGUGUUGGGAAUAUAUUUAUGGGACAUUAAGCUUUAUCCUUCAGCCUUAGCUUCCAUAGAUCUGGAAAGAAUUGCUAAGGGAGUAGAUCUCGCCACUAACAUGGAAUCUUGGAAAAUGUUAUUUAAUCGCAAAUCGAGCAGUUCGAAAAGAGCGGGUGGCAUGCUACUAUGUAAAUCCAAAGAUUUUGAAUAGCAAAUGUUAUCCACCACUAAAUCCAGACUCCUAACAGUGUGUUUGGAGCUCAAUAGCGCCGCUCUAAAAUUUAUUAGUCUACUACAAAUUAGAACUCCUAUGAAACUAAUGUGAAUGUGUAAUUUGUAAUCCUUCACUAUUUGCAAGUUUAUGGAAUAUAUAAUGUUCAAUUUCUUUGAAAUUAUGCCAUUAUGUUGUUUGUAUCAUCACUGAACUUGAGGAAAGAAACCAUUGUUAGAUGUAUAUUCUCUAUCCUUAUAGGAUAAUUUGGAAUUCAGGCGGAUUAUAUUUCUUAAAAAGUAUGCCCCAUUUUAAUUUUCUUAUUUCUGUUCUCCUCAUUUAAACAGGUUGCAUUUUUUGCGGACCCAAAGCCUGAAUGCAUUGUGGAGUGUUUGCCAUCCUGCACAUCUGAGAUGAACCCACCCAAGUAUCCCCCAAUAACGUGUUCUGUGUACAUGAACCAGAGAUACAACGAUACGCAUCUGGGCCAGACUCAUAUCAUGGACAAGAAAUGA